rnacentral:lncRNA from 1 species
UGUAUAUCCUAGAAGAUUGGGAGCUGAAAUUUGGAUAGCAGACUGAGCGUUUUAGGGAAAACUUCAAGGACACUGAACCAGAAUCAACCAACACCAAUGAGACUAAUAGCAUUCUUCAAGUGGGAGAGAGCUAAUAAAGAGAGCUGUAACCGACCUGUAUGGUGACUGGAAUAAUAUUCAACAGGGUAACAAGCCUGAAGGUAUCAGGGCUUCGUCUGGGAUCCCAUUCUCCUCCGGGAUCCCCUCUCAUGAGGAGACACGUUCUGCUGCCUCAUUGUGGCAGCCUUGGGGGUAAGGAAUUGAGACCCACCGAGUUUGACAAAUAAACCCGGACUCUCAGCAAUGCAGGAUGAAAAGGCCUACAGAUACCACAGUGACCAGGUAACUUUGUGCACAAACCAAGGUAAGAAAAACCACAGGGGCAGUGAAGUACUUCCUUGGUGGUCAGGACAUCCUGGUGGUUGAAUGUGUGUGAAUGAGAUGCACAAUUGAGUAUGAAGUGAAAGCAGGGUAGUGCUGGAAACCUCCACUGGCAGAGAGGGGGUGGAGGAGUUAAGCCUGCAGGGAAAGGGUGCAAGAAAUCUCUAGUAGGAGAGGUUCAGCCCCA